UUGCUGCUCUUUCCGUCCAACAAAAAAUGUCUCAAUUUUUAUUAAAUUUGAAUGCAUCUAUACACUAAGUCAUGUCUAGAUACAUCCUGACAAACUUGAGACAUCUUUUGUUGGACUGAGGGAGUAUAUA
rfam:Brachypodium distachyon strain Bd21 chromosome 2, whole genome shotgun sequence.